rnacentral:rRNA from 1 species
AACGAACGCUGGCGGCAGGCCUUACACAUGCAAGUCGAACGGGCAUAUUUAUAUGUCAGUGGCGGACGGGUGAGUAACACGUGGGAAUAUACCUUUUAGUUUGGAAUAACGUUGGGAAACUAACGCUAAUACCGAAUGUGCUCGAGAGAGGAAAGAUUUAUCGCUAAGAGAUUAGCCCGCGUUAGAUUAGCUAGUUGGUGAGGUAAAGGCUCACCAAGGCGACGAUCUAUAGCUGGUCUGAGAGGAUGAUCAGCCACAUUGGGACUGAGACACGGCCCAAACUCCUACGGGAGGCAGCAGUGGGGAAUAUUGGACAAUGGGCGCAAGUCUGAUCCAGCCAUGCCGCGUGAGUGAUGACGGCCUUAGGGUUGUAAAGCUCUUUUACUCGGGAAGAUAAUGACUGUACCGAGAGAAUAAGCCCCGGCUAACUUCGUGCCAGCCGCCGCCGUAA